rnacentral:rRNA from 1 species
UGGGGAAUAUUGCGCAAUGGGCGAAAGCCUGACGCAGCAAUGCCGCGUGAGUGAAGAAGGCCUUCGGGUUGUAAAGCUCUUUUGUCAGGGAAGAAACGGUAGUAGCGAAUAACUAUUACUAAUGACGGUACCUGAAGAAUAAGCACCGGCUAACUACGUGCCAGCAGCCGCGGUAAUACGUAGGGUGCAAGCGUUAAUCGGAAUUACUGGGCGUAAAGCGUGCGCAGGCGGUUGUGUAAGUCAGAUGUGAAAUCCCCGGGCUCAACCUGGGAAUUGCAUUUGAGACUGCACGGCUAGAGUGUGUCAGAGGGGGGUAGAAUUCCACGUGUAGCGGUGAAAUGCGUAGAUAUCAAGAGGAACACCUGAGGUGAAGACGGGUUGCUGGGCUGACACUGACGCUGAGGCGCGAAAGCCAGGGGAGCAAACGGGAUUAGAUACCCCUGUAGUCCCUGAGCGGGCUGGCAAGGCGCAU